rnacentral:rRNA from 1 species
UACGUAGGGUCCGAGCGUUGUCCGGAAUUAUUGGGCGUAAAGAGCUCGUAGGCGGUUUGUCGCGUCUGCUGUGAAAACGCGAGGCUCAACCUCGCGCCUGCAGUCGAUACGGGCAGGCUAGAGUUCGGCAGGGGAGACUGGAAUUCCUGGUGUAGCGGUGAAAUGCGCAGAUAUCAGGAGGAACACCGGUGGCGAAGGCGGGUCUCUGGGCCGAUACUGACACUGAGGAGCGAAAGCGUGGGGAGCGAACAGG